rnacentral:misc_RNA from 1 species
GAUGAAGAACGUAGCGAAAUGUGAUAAGUAAUGUGAAUUGCAGAAUCCAGUGAAUCAUCGAAUCUUUGAACGCACAUUGCGCCCGCCAGCAUUCUGGCGGGCAUGCCUGUUCGAGCGUCAUUUCAACCCUCGACCUCCCCUUGGGGAGGUCGGCGUUGGGGACCGGCAGCACACCGCCGGCCCUGAAAUGGAGUGGCGGCCCGUCUGCGGCGACCUCUGCGUAGUAAUACAGCUCGCACCGGAACCCCGACGCGGCCACGCCGUAAAACACCCAACUUCUGAACGUUGACCUCGAAUCAGGUAGGACUACCCGCUGAACUUAAGCAUAUCAAUAAGCGGAGGA